ensembl:lincRNA 1700057H15Rik RIKEN cDNA 1700057H15 gene
GGAGAGGAGGCUCCCACUGCAGAAGACCCUGAGGUUCCCGACUUCCACGUUGGAGAGAUGGGCUGCGCAAGGGAUGGGAGACCCAAUCUUUGGCACUCGAAGUUCAACAGGGCUCUAAGCACAUCAGAUGGACCACACAAGCCAGCUGUGUAGGCUCCUGUCCUGUCUGGCGUAGCUCAGCUGUCCACUCUGAUGGAAGUCCAUCUGUCUGAACAGCCAACGGGUCAGCUGUCCAACCAGACCCUGCUCCCCGUCAGCUCUCCUAAUCACUCACCUGCCGGCUUCUCCUUUUCCCUUCCCCGUGUUUCUCAUGAAACCAACUUGUGUUGGCUGCUUGGACUUGAAAUGAACUGAGAGCCGUCUUUCCAAAACCAGGCUUUAUUGAUUUUGUUCGCUUCCUUUUCUUGAAGUUGGGGUCUCGCUCUGUAGCCCUGGCUGGUCUGAAACUCAAAGAGAGCCAUUUGCUCUGCCUCCUGAGUGCUGGGAUCAAAGGCACAUGCCACCGCCCUUGGCCUUCAUUCACCUUUUUAUGGACACAGUUGGAUGAAGGGUGACACUCUUAGGUAGGUGCAUACUUCUCUGCUGGAAUGAACCAGAACACCCACAGCACUGUAGUCAACCAUAUUCCUUCUCCCCGCUUCUCGAUGGCGAGGGGGAUGCUUUUCCUUCCUGCAGUCUUCCCUUUCUGCAGAUGAAUAGGAACG